UACGGGGGGGCAAGCGUUGUUCGGAAUUACUGGGCGUAAAGCGUGCGUAGGUGGUGAGUUAAGUCUGUCGUGAAAGCCCCGGGCUCAACCUGGGAAUGGCGAUGGAUACUGGCUCGCUAGAGUGCGGUAGAGGAGAGUGGAAUUCCCGGUGUAGCAGUGAAAUGCGUAGAGAUCGGGAGGAACAUCAGUUGCGAAGGCGGCUCUCUGGACCAGCACUGACACUGAGGCACGAAAGCGUGGGAGCAAACAGG
rnacentral:rRNA from 1 species